AACAGUUGGCGCUAGAGGAAGGGCCGAAUCUCAGAACGAUCGCAAUGGCACGGCGAGGUGGUCGUGGAGCUUCCAAUGCUUCCGGUCGCGGAGCCUCUCGCGCCUCCGGCCGGGAGGCUGCUGCGUCCCCAACGCACUCUCAGCAACACUCCACCGCCCCACCUCCCAUUCAGACGGUCGAAGCUGCUCAGUUCGACCAGCUAGCCCAGCAGGUUCGCACCCUCGCGGAGGCAGUGCAGAAUCUGCAGGGUGUGAUCUCUCGGGUGCCGCAGCAGGUUCAGGAGCCGCUGCACCCCGAGCACUCGCCUGUUCCCCACAACCCGC
rnacentral:lncRNA from 1 species